UGCAAAAUGAUGUCAGUUAUAAAAAGUUUUAAAUCAUUUAUUGACAGUUAAUGAACCACCAAUGUUGAAAUUAACUGGCUGUGAUGGCAGUUAUAGGCUGUAACUAUAAUCAUCGAACGCAGACCACUGCGAUUGGAUCCUGGGUGACUACUUUGGUUGCCAGAUUUUGUGAGAGUGAGGGGGAGUGAAGAAAAACUACCACAACAAGAGGAC